CACCGGUCUGUGAAUUACUGUGACCCCGGAACCAGAGGGUCUCAAUGCUGCAGUAAUUACCGCUGAGGGAGGACUACAAGUGUCUUUCAAGUAAAGGUAAUAUGUAGUCACACCUGCAGUCAGCUGAGGGGCCGACGGAGCAGAUGGAGAAGGAGAUGGUGCCGUUGAGGAGCACGAGUCGGACCCUCUUGUGCAACGUCUGACGUGGAUGGAAAGCAACGGCUGCAUUCCUUUGUCUGGUGGACAGAGGUUUACUCUUUCUUCUGUGCUGACGUCACAGCCACCUUCUCUUCCUCUGAGCAGACAAGACAUGGCAUCACUCAUCUACCACCUGCUCCCGCACAACCAGAUGUUGCUACAUUUGGCUCUACGUACUAUACAUCCAGACUGAUUCAUCCAUGUGUGGGAGAGAGGAAUGCUUAGCGGUUACAUUUUUACAUUUUACAGUUACAUAACAUCUUGACUCAACUUGUUUUAUGCUAUACAAAAUGUGAUGUACUUAAAACAAGUACCAACAGAUUAGAUUAAUAUUCAACACUGUGUGAGUCCCUUGAGUGAAGUUUUUGUAGCCUAUUUUUUUUAUCAGUAAUAACAAGCUGCUCUCAGUGUGCUAACCUCAUCAAAAGACAACCACCCAGGAGAUACACACACACCACAGGCCCAUGAUUUCAUUUAGAAACGAGUCACUCAGUGGGCAGAUAAAAGAGAAAUAAAGGCAGUUUAUGGAAA